UGUUGUAAAUCGAUGUGAAGACAAAAGAAACGUGAAACAAUGCAUAGGAAGAUGAUUAUUUAAUUCAAACGGAGAGAGACACAUAGUAGAGCUAUACUAGAGUGAGCCACUAUAGUGGCGCGUCGUGCCUAAGAGGUUAAAUCAGCCGGCCGGACGGCGCUUUUUUUCACGAUAAAUGCUUUUUUAAUUCGCUGUUUUUCGACCGUUGUUUCAGGAAGGAGGAAAACGAUUCCGGAACCGGAGUCGAGACGGAAACACGUGUGCGAGUAUUGCCAUAAGUCGUUUACCCACUCGAGGUUUCUGAACAAGCAUCGUAAUAACUAUUGCUACAUUAACCCGCAUUCGGUGUAUUACCAGACGAAGGAGCUGAGGCCGUACAUCUGCAUACUUUGCGGCGCUAGUUACAGCAAACAGACGUCCCUUAGGUCGCACAUACGGUUCGACUGCGGGAAAACGCAGAAGUGCGACUGGUGCGGCAAAACGUUCUUACACAGCAGCAGCCUGCGCAAGCACAAAGUGACCUGCUAUUUGGUCGAGAACGAGUAGAGAGAGAGAGAGAGAGAGAGAGAGAGAGAGAGAGAGAGAGAGAGAGAGAAACGCACACCCACGCCUUUCGAGGCGGACGAAUGAAGAGCUCGCCGCCGGUCUAGAAAAAGUGUGGCCGCCGCCACUGUAACACGGAGCAUGCUAUUUAUCGUGCUAUUUGUAUCAUGCUAUUUGUCAGGCAUUGUUAUGAAUUGUCGUAGCAUUGUCGUGCUGUUCUAUUUAUGCGCGAGAGCCUAUUUAAUACGAACAAUUGUCCCGUGGGAAGCGUUGUUGUUUCCGCGCUUCUUCUCCCGUCGCCGAGCCCGUGGCGACGCCUAUGUAUAUCACAGUAACCGUUUUAUUAAAGUGUAGAGGUGUAUGUACUCUGUUAA